UUUUUUUUUCUCAAAUGCUCUGUGUUGAGGGGUUUGGGCUUUAUUUUUGGAUGUCCGAUCAGGUGUCCUGCCCAGCUCAAAGGCAGACUAGCCACUGUUUGGCUGCCGAGGCUCCGCCCUGCUGUUGUGUGAUUCGCGCUGUUCCUGCCGGCUCUGCUGUGGUCUCCGCGACGCCCUGCGGCGGAGUCUCUUCGUUGUAGCGUGUUGCCUCAGCAACGGCAGGCUGCGUCAGCAGUGGGCGUGUAUCUCAGUAGGGGCGGGUUGCCUCGGCAACGGCAGGCUGCGUCAGCAGUGGGUGUGUAUCUCAGUAGGGACGGGUUGCCUCGGCACCGGCUGGCUGCCUCAGCAGUGGGCGUGUAUAUCAGUUGGGGCAGGUUGCCUCCGUAGUGGUGGACGCCCCUCCCCCACAGAGCGUCUCGGACCGUCUGCCCGGGAUAGUUUGAAAUCGCGGUUUUGUUCGUCCCACUGGGGAUCCCAAGCGAUCUGUCCCUGCAAUCCCCUGGGCUGGGCUACUGUGCAAGUCUCGUUCAGUCUCAAGUCCAGCCCUCUCAAGUCUCAGGUUGCCGGUUCAACAAGGCACCCGGACAAGCGCGCCCUGUGGGGAUUGCUGGGUAGGGCCGGCCGCCACCGCCCCGGCUGCUGGCUUCGCCAGGCAGACCUACUGCCUGGCGUCCCGUGUCUUUUUAUACUUGGGAGUUUCCCCGUUCUGUGGGCAACAAAGAUCAGUCUGGAAAUGCAGCACUGACUCACCGUUUGCGAAUUCAACGCGGGCUCCAAUCCUGGGUUGUUCUCACAGCGCCAUCUUGAGUCCCCUCUCGCAUUUUUCAAUGCAUAAGACAACUCCCUACAACAAAGAAUUACCCAGCAUAAAAUAUAGUACCUAGGUUGAGAAACCCUGCUUGAAUAAGACGGAUACAUUGCACAAGGAGGAUUAGAAUUUUCAUAAGUGGAUAAAUGGGGACAAGAAUCACAGAGACAUUACUAUAUGAGCAACGCCCUAUGGGGAAAAAUAUAGGUGUUGUUCAGGAAAUAGGAGGGAGGACUUCAGUGGGGUAUAAGGUACACAACUGAGGCUGGGGAAGCUGUAAAAGGAAAGGGGCGUUAGCAUUUAGGUUGAUGCAGAGAGUACAAGCUGCUCGAGUUUGGAUUUUAUUCUUUUGGCCAGAGAGAGCCACAGAAGGAUUUUAAAAAUGGAAGCAAUAGGAUUAAAAGUGUGUUUUAGAAAUAAAAUCAGAGGGAAAAGCUUUGAUUCUCAUAGCAGAUUGUAAGAAAAUUCCUUUGAGGGAGUCACCUUUAUUUUGGGUGUUGUCUGUUGAUUAUUAGCCUCUAGUUGUUGGAAAAUAGCAAAACUACAGAAAAGGGAGAAAUUCUGUGUAUUUGGGCCUGCUUGGGAUGGGCAGUGAGGAGGUGAGGAGGGGGCACGGGAAUGAGAGAGUGGUGCAAUGCUGAUGUUUAUGCUGUGAGAUACUUCCUCAUGGCUUCCAGAACUUUGAUAAUCUUUACAAAAAUCACAACAUGCUUGUUGUGCUUAGAUUUCUUGGGCAAAAUGACUAUAUUUGGGUUCAUUAUGAAGAUUGGGAUAGGAGGUUGGUGACAAUGGUGCAAUGGUGGUAUAGAAGUAAUAAUUGGGAUGCUUCUGUAAUGGGCAGUUUCUUCUCCUUCUUCCUUUUAGAUCCUGUAGUCCUGCCCCACAGAACUGCUCACUCUUCUCCAAUAUGCCAGUCUGUGUCAUGCUUACAUGUUCUUCUCUCUGCUUGGCACAUUGUCCUUCUCUGUCUAGUAAACUUCUGCUCAUCCUUGAAGACUGACUUCAAAUGUUCCAUUCUUUGCUCUGCGCUGUAUACGAAAUAUCAAUAUUGUGUUGUGUUUGCUAAAGUGUUUAUUUUCCCCAACCAGAGAGUGAGCCCCUUCAGGGAUAAGAUUGACGUAGUAAUCAUCUCUGACUCUCCAGCAGGUAGCAAAGCGUGUUACCCAAGUGAUUAUUCGCUGAAUGAACCGUGGGUAAUAAGGUCAGUGAGUGGCAGAAAGAUUGUGGCUCUGGGCCCACAUAGCCUUUGCUUGGCUGCUGUUAGAACUAUAUAUUUUUUUCUCCUUAUUAAUUUUAUAUUUUAAACUUCAUCCCCUAGCUUUAACAUUUCCUUCUGAUAGAUGAUAUUCUAUCAGGAAGAGGAAAAAAAAAAAAAAAGGGCAAAGUACAACUUUAAGCCUUGAGUAAAUGGGCUAAAAUCAUGUUUCAAUGUGCUUUUUAGAAUACUUCCAUGUAAUUAAUUUAACAUUGACCUGCUUAUUAAGAAUCCAUUAUUAAGAAAACAAUUGUAAAAAUUAUUAAGAGCAUUUCCACAGAUCUUAGCUACUGACUGACUCAUCUUGCUAGUUCUUAAUAAACUUGACCUGAAAAUCUCUCACUCACAGUAUCAGGUAAAAUUUUAUUUUUUUAACCAUUAGCAAACAUUUACCCUUGGGUUGAUUUUUAUGUGUUUUUAUUGUUGUUGUUAAUGUGAAGAAAGUCCUGUACAGGAACAGCUGCACAUAUGGGACAAUGCCCAGGCAUGGUUUAAAGACCCCUUUUCAAAACAUCUUCCCCACACUGGUAUUAUGCAAUGCCUCUGCCUCAACAAUUAAUAAGUAUUUCCUUUUGAGUUAAACCAUGACGUAUAUAGCCACACUAGCUUAUUUUGAGAUAGGGCAAGACUCUUCUGGCAUCAGAAAUACAUAUUUGGAACGUGGAUAUUUUGUCUUUUCUGUUUGUUAUUUCAUCUUAUAUUUUCCUUCAGAAUUUAGUAAAAUCCUUUAUGAAAGUAUAAGCUGGCUCAGGUUAGGGGUUUUCAACUCUGCUAGGGGGCAGGGUUUAAUGGGGGAGACACAUCCACCCUAGGUCUGAGGAAGUGAUGAAGACGAUGCCACAUUUUCAAAGGGCCCCAGAGCCCUGGCAUGACCCUCAUCUCUCCUCCCACAGCACUCACAGCCUCUCAACCUCAAUCUGCUAAGAGACAAUCCAGGGCAAUCUCACCACUUCCUUUAUCCCAUAUUCCACACUAUAAAUUUAUUCCUAAUAGUCUAGAUCUAAUCCUAUCUGUUUAUUUGUUAUUCUGGCCCACUGCCCAUUUCCUACUUCCACCCCUUUUUCUGUGCCCUGUGGUCCAUCAUUGGCAAAAGCCCUCGUGUUCUCAGCCUCUUCUCUUAGUGUCUCCUAUACAUUAUUGUUUUCAAAGAAACCUGGACCUCUGAGUCCAGCUUUCUUGUAGCCUGUUUGAGUGGUGCUUGUUUUCUGUUCCAUACCCCUUUGAGCUAAUAGGAUAGAGUAUGACUCUGGUGAGAUCAAAAUCAUGUAGCCUGUAUUUGGAAUGUGAAUUUGAAUAGAAUUCUGGACUUAGAGGUGGAGAGAUGUCUCCCUGGUUUUUAUUGCUCCUAUCUGACCAAGUUCUCUUCUCCCUUGGGGUGGAAGUUAGACAUUAUCACCAGCUACCCUUUCUUAUUUCAGUCAUCUGCUGACUGGGUUACUGUCUCACGUUCCCUGAAGACGUAAGCUCCCAGCUCAUCCUCACUUGUUUGUGACAACAAUGUCGGUCACAAUUUCUAGUGAUUUAAUCUCCGUGUAGAUGACCAUUUCUAUGCUUUCUGGCAUCUGAGUUCCCUGACCUCUUCUCCUAUAAUGAUUUCAUUCUCUUCCAACCUCAGCCACUCACUCCCAUGGAAUGGGCCAUUCAUACAUAGCCUUCCCUCAACUUUGUCCUUAUCAGUAACUGUUCCUCUUCCAUAAUCUCAGUCUCCCAUCCAAGAACUAACCAGAUCCAACCCUGCAUGGCUUCUGAGAUCAGACAAGGUUGGGUAUGUUCAGGGUGGUAUAGCCAUAGAUAAAAUAUCAAUCUCAAGUAUUCUACCCUAGGCCCACCACCUCCUAUCUUUCCAGCUCACUGUCUCUCACAUCUUGACUUAAAAAUCCUUUAACCUAACAGUGAAUUUGUCCUACCAUCUUUUCCCUGUCUUUUACAUCUCAUGUAUCCUUAGCUCCUUAUCCAUCCUAGAUCUUAUAGUCUGUCAUAAUCAUCACUCACUUCAUGCACCCUGAACUCCCAGGAGCCUCUUUCAUGUCUUUUCCCUUUGGAAAACCACCAGUCCUAGUUAUUUGCCGCACUUUUCCUACUCUGCACCUGUUUUCUGGUUGCUGAACUUGGCUGGAGGAAAGUACCCAAUCUACUGCAUUGUCUCACUUUAAACUCAUGAGCCCUAAAUUCAAGUGGGCCCAGCAAUUCUAAUUCAUUCAAAGACUUUGUGAACUCUUGCUUCACAAGCAUGAUCUCACACCCUCUGCUCUCUCCUCAAACUUUUGGCACUUCCUUCUUCAUUCUCAGCUGAUGACCUUGAUUCCCUUUACAAAGGCGAAAAUGGAAACAAUCAGAAGAGAACUUCCACAUGUGGUUCCCAUCACUUCUUCCCAGCCUGCUUGCAUCUUUGCCUGUGUCCCCUCAUCUAUUCUGCCAUCCUGAGGAACUGUCCAUGAGUCUAUCCACGGCAUAACACUCCUUUUAUAUACUAGGUCCCAGGACCACAUAUCUACUUAAGGAGAUCACCCUAGCAAUUUUACUGAAGCCAUUUUGGAGAGGAUUUCUUUCUUUUCUUUUCUUUUCUUUUUUUUUUGAGACAGAGUCUCAUUCUGUUACCGAGGCUGGAGUGCAGUGGCACAAUCUCAGCUCACUCCAACCUUCACCUCCUGGGUUCAAGAGAUUCUCCUGCCUCAGCCUCCCAAGUAGCUGGGAUUACAGGCGUGCACCACUAUGCCUAGCUAACUUUUGUAUUUUUAGUAGAGACGGGGUUUCAUCAUGUUGGCCAGCCUGGUCUUGAACCUCUGACCUCAAAUGAAAUAGAUUGGGCCUGGCUCAGCCUCCCAAAGUGCUAGGAUUACAGGCAUAAGCCAUGGUGCCCAGCCAAGGCUCUCUCUUUCUUCUUCCUGAUCAAUUUACAUCCAUCAGUGUAUAAACAUGCUUAUGAUUAUUUCUGUAUUAAAAUACUUUUCCUGAUCUCAGGCUUCCCUGCAACUACCAUUGCAUUUUUCUAAUCUUCUUUAAAACAAAACUUUUUCAAAGUAUUGUCCAUACUUGUAGUAUCCAUUUCUGCUCUCUUACUCUCUUCAAUCACUCUAAGUAGACUUUUAUCUACACCAUUUCACCAAUACAGCCCUUGUCAAUGCCUCCAGUGACUUCCAGGUUGUCAAAGCGAAUUGUCAGUUCUCAGUCCUUAUCUCACUUGAAACAAUUGAUCACUGCCUCUUUGAUACAUUUUCUUCAUUUGAUUUCUGGGAUAUCAUCCUCUCAAGUCUGAGCACUUAACAUGUGGCCAGCUCAAAUAGAGAUGUCUGAGUCUUCUCUCAAAAUCUGCACUGAUCUUAUUGGAUACUUUCUCAAUCUUUUUAAUGGUUUCUCUUACUUGGCUCCUUAAUUUUGAAGGACCCUCAGAAUUUUAUCCUUAAACCUGUUCUUUGUCUACACUCACUAGAUGACUUCAUUUUGUCUAAUAACUAUAUACUAUCCAAUAACUACAUGCUAUCAGUGCUGUCCCAUAGAAAUAUAAUGUAAGCCACAUUAUAGAUAGGUGAGUCAUAGAUAUAAUUUUGAAUUUUCUCAUAGCCACAUUAAAAAAUGAAAAGGGAACAGGUUAGAUUAGUUUAAUAACAUAUUUUAUUCAGCCUGAUGUCUUAGAAAAUUAACAUUUUAACAUAUGAUCAAUGUGAAAUGAAUAAUGUUUUUCAUUCCUUUUAAAAUAUUAUUUGAAUUUCAGUGUGCAUUUAGCACUUACAGCACAUCUCAAUUUGAACUAGCAACGUUUUAAGUGCUCAGUAGCUGCAUGUGGCUAGUGGCUGUAUUGGACAGCACAGAUCUCUAUACUGGGCACUGGCUUUUACUGAGUAAUGUAGCCAAUGGAAAGGUUUUUUUAUAUAUAAAGUUUUAAAUUAAAAAACAUAUGUACAGAUGGGGUCUCACUAUGUUGACCAGGCUGGCCUCAAAUUCCUGGCCUCAAUUGAUCCUCCCAUCUCAGCCUCCCAAAGUGCUGGAAUUACAGGAAUGAGCCACUGCACCCAACCCAAAUGGAAAGUGUUGAGGAGGGAAAUGACAUGACUACUCAUUUUUUAAAAAACUGAAAUGGAGUUUCACUCUUGUUGCCCAGGCUACAGUGCAGUGGCGUGAUCUCGGUUCACUGCAACCUCUGCUUCCUGGGUUCAAGCGAUUCUCCUGCCUCAACCUCCCAAGUAGCUGGGAUUACAGGCAUGUGCCACCAAGACAGGCUAAUUUUUUUUUUAAUUAAAUACGGGAUUUCACCAUGUUGGUCAGGCUGGUUUCGAACUCCUGAUCUCAAGUGAGUCGCCUGCCUCGGCCUCCCAAAGUGCUGGGAUUACAGGUGUGAGCUAUCACGUCCAGCCAGACUACCCAUUUUUGAAAGGCCGCCCUGACCACUCUGUUGAAAAUAAACAAUGUGGGAGUAUGGGGACAGCAAAGAGACUAGCUAGAAGGUUAGUACGGUCAAAGAUGAAGGAGACAGCGGGGUAGACGGGGAGAAGCAGUGGUAUGUUGAAGGUAGAUCAUGUUGAAUAAUAGGAUUUCCAAAUGGAUUGUACAAAGAGAAAGGAGUCCAGGGUGGCUCCUGGAUUUUUUAUCUGAACCACUAGAGGAAUGGAAAGAAUACAGCUGACUCUAGGUGAGAUGGGGAGGACUGAGAUGGAGAAGUUCUGGAGAAGGCAGAGAUUGGUAGUUCAAAUUUUGGAUUUGUUAAGUUUGAGUUUUCUAUUAAACAGACAGAAAAAAACCACAAACAGAAAAAAAAUGAUGAUCACUUCAGAUAGCAACAUGUCAUAAAGAAAAGAAAAUAGCCCUAGAGUGACUGAGGAGGAGUUUCUUAGACAAGCUUGUUAGUGAAAGCAUCUCUGAAGAAGGGGCAUUUGAACUGAGUCCUGAAUGAUGAAAUGAGGCCAGCCAAACAAAAAUCUGGAAGAAAAUCAUUUUAGUCACAGGGUGCUACAAAGAUAAAACUUGGUGGCAGGAAUGUCUGAGAGACAGAAAAGCGGCCAGUGUUUCUGAAGUGGGUAAGAUGGAGAGGCAGGCAGGGGCCAGUCAUACAGUGCCUUGUCAGUCAUGGUGAAGGAUUGGAUGCUAUUUUAUGCACCAAAGGAAGCCUUUGGGAGGUUUUAAGCUAGAUGUAGCAUGAUCUGAUUUAUGUUUUAUUAAGAAAACUCUGGCUCCUCGAUGGCGCAUGGAUUUAUAUUAUAUUAAUUAUUAUUGCUAUUAUUAUUACAGGAGACAAAAGUAGAAGCAGGGAGAGCAAUUAGAAGCUUUUACACUAACUGUCAAAUACAUUAUGGUUCUUUCCACUACACAGCUCUUCAUUUCCUGCCUCUAAGUCUUUUCUUGAUUUCAAGGGAUUUCUGGAGGGAGAGAAUGUGUAUUAUAUUUAUUAUAUUUCUUUUAUUUUUAUUUUUUUAGAGAUGGGGUUUCACUAUGUUGGCCAGGAUGAUCUCAAUCUCCUGACCUCAUGAUCUGCCCGCCUCAGCCUCCCAAAGUGCUGGGAUUACAGGCGUGAGCCACUCCACCCAGCCUGAGAGUGUGUGUUCUUAAUAUCUGUGCCCUCUGACAUGCCCAGCACUAUGUCCCACCCACAGCAGGAGGCUCAGUACUUAUUUUUGAGUGAAUUAUAAAGCUCCUCUCAACAAGGCUGAGGAGAACGGUUUUUUAAAAUAUAUAUGUGUAUUUCUUGUAUAUAGCAUAUUGUCUGUCUCAUAGUUAAGACUCAGUGAAUGUCUGUUGGAAUGGGGCAAGACCUCACUUAAGAUAACCAGUUUACUGAGAGAGAUCCAUGGAUAGGCAGAGGCAGCAAAGACGGUUUGGGCUUUGCUAGCGUGGAGGGUAGGAAAAGGCAGGGAAGGUGGAGCAUGUUGAGAGAAGAGAGGUGGGUAAAGUCACCCACUGUGAGCAGGCCAAGGGUAGGUUUGGCCUACAUUUUAAUUUAAGGCGGCCUGGUUUCAUUGAUGGUGAUAUGAUCCCUAUGUGUGGAAAUAGCUGAAAUGGUUUGAUCACCAUGGGACCAUAAUCUGUUACCCAAAGCCUUCAUUAAGUAGAUAAUUCUGUUCAGCCUCACACAUAGCCAGGCCUACAGGAGUUUGCCAUCCAGCACUGAUACCGCUGCUGCAAGUCCCAGCAAACACAGGAUGGCAGGCCGAAUUCAAGCUUUCUGGCACUCGUUCUCUUCUGGCUGGGACAGAUGUCCUCAGGCCCAAUCUUGCGCUGGCAGAGAGUUAAGUGCUGGGCUGGGUCUGUGCUUUGCGGUGUGUGCUAGGCUUGCAUUUGAUUCUGUCCAAAAGAGGUCUGUGGGCCAGAGGGAUGACACUUGGCACCAAGAAAGUAACCCAGGUGUCUGGCCCUUAUUCAGUCCCAAAGCCUUAUUCUUUUCCCUCAAGUCUCUGCAAUCAUUUGGAAUCCAUGACUCAUCAUCCAGAGGGUUCAGUGCCUUUAGAUUAGGGAUCUACACCCAUAGCUGAUGAUCCACUGGACUACCACACUUGGCGUCUAAACAGAGCCAACAGGGCUGGUUACAAAUUCUCUGUUAAUUACUGUGUGUAAUUACACUAGACCCAAGGUUGGCGGGAGACACCCUACUCUGUUGUUAUUUUAUAUAUGAAUUGUGUAAAAUUUUUUAAAAGCACAUCAUUUUAACUUUCUAAUUAGGAUAUGGGGACUUGGGGGUGGCAACUGUUGUUAUUUAAUCAUGCUUUUCUGGGGAGGGAAGGAGAGGAAAAAAUUUUCCUUUUUCUAUCAACAAUUGCUCUCAUUUCUGCAUUAAGAGGGUGGAAACUUGGUUCCUCCCUCAUCCCCUUUGGCUCAGAUUCAUAAAGGUUGUUGAUUUUGACUUUGGGUUUUCCUGCUCUGUUUUUCCCCUCCUUUCAUGCUACCUAACACAAUACAUAAGUCUUCCUAGCCAGCACUCCCUAAGGGUGGGGUAAGAAACACAGCCCAUUAAAAAAAUUUUUUUUAAGCUUUGGGUAAUCUUCUUUUUAUAUUCACCCAAAUAAACCAGGUUGGUGGCAUAUUCUCCUUUGUUUUUGCAUCUGAGAUAAAGUUUAAAUGGUGCCAGAAUGAAUCACAUUGCUUGUGUUCUUGUACCCAGCUGCAAAACAUGCCAGGCUCAAGCCCAGGAACACAAGUAAGAUUGCAUGCAGGCAGAAAGCGCCAUCACUGUCUUAUCUCCUCCUGCUCUGCUAAAAACACUGCAUUUAUUUAUUUAUUUUGUUUUAUUUUUUCGAGAUGGAGUGCUCCGUUGCCCAGGCUGGAGUGCAGUGGCAUGAUCUCAGCUCACUCCAACCUCUGCCUCUCGCGUUCAAGCAAUUCUCCUUCCUCAGCCUCCUGAGUAGCUGGGGCUAUAGGCGCUCACCACCACAGGUGCCCAUCUUUAGUAGAGAUGGGGUUUCACUGUAUUGGCCAGGCUGGUCUUGAACUCCUGACCUCAAGUGAUCCACCUGCCUUGGCCUCCCAAAGUGCUGGGAUUACAGGUGUGAGCCACCACUCCUGGCCAAAAAAUUGCAUUUAUUAUAUACUGCCCAUUCUCGUGGAGAGCUCUUCACAUUCCAAUAUCAUUGUUGCCCAUCCUUUCCUUCCCUUUGAGAGAGACUCAGCAUUUCCCCUUUCCCAUCCUAUUCUCAUUCCUACUUCCUAGCUUUACUAUCUACUGUAUAACUUGCUGAGCUUGAGUUUCCUCUUGAGUAAAGUGGAGAUAAUAAGAAACACCUGCUUUGCCAAUGUCACACAGCUAUUGAGGAUCAAAUGAGUUAAUGGGUAGGAACAUGCUUUAUUUCUACAAAUGUAGGCUAUCAUCAGUAUUAUUUACCUACUGUUCUUCGUUAGCUAGCUACGUAGUCUAGCUUACCUCACCGCGUUUUGAAUGUAGAAGGCUAGCUGUUUCUGGUAAGUUUCAAAGCCCCAAGAAAAUGAUUGGAAAUGAAUCAAUAUAAGAACAUUUUCUUGUUGGGUAGUUCAUCCAAUUAUUAUGUAUGUUGUUUGUCUUCUUUUCAUUUGGAUAUAGGUUUCCUUCAGCUGCCAGUACUGUGAAAUAAAAGACAAUAUUAUAAAUCCUUUGGAGAUGAAGCAUUUCCAUCCUAAUAGCUGCUGCUCAAAAUUUGAUUUCCCCUUGAUUUUCAAUAAAAGGAGGAUAAUAGAAUGUUAUUAAUUCUAAUUAUAAAGCAACAGGAAUUCUAGGCAUUACUUUCAAAUAGCUGCUUUCAUGUCAGAAUAAUAAGUGUUGAGAGGAAGAGCUCUGAGUCCUUUACUUAUAUUCUUUAAUUAUUUUUAUACCUCUAAGGAAGAUGGACAAAUUGAGGCACAGAGACUCCACGGAAUUGUUGUCUGAGUUGUGACAGCGUCUCAUCUUCUUUUUCAUUUACACAUUUGGCAUAUUUUUUGCAGGCUUUGUAAAAAAAAAAACUUAGUCUAUGUUUACAAUUUUUGCACUGUUUUCAUUUUAUUUUUGGUUGGUGUUCACCCUGUGUUUCUGAGGGUUUGAAGCUGUCUACAAAAAGCUGCUGUCUUUGUCUCCAAAGAAUAUAUAAACCACUUUUGUAGAAUCAGAAUGUGUUAGGCGAAGCCCAUGUUUACAUAGGAAAAAAGCAAAAUGAAUUCAAUAUUAAUUAAUUUCAUGCUGGGUCUCAUGCUAGGCUCUUUACGCGUCUCAUUUUACAUAAUCCUCAUGGCAACUAUAUAUUAUAUAAUAUUUACAAAAUUUUUCACAAACUGAAGUGAGCAAGUUGCAUUAUUGGAGUUUAAACAUACCUGUGCUAUAUCCCUAUGAAAAAUCUAAUUUACUAUAUGUUCUGGUCUAUGGCAUUUACAUUUUUGAAACAUUCUAUCUUAGCAAAAUUGUAGUUACUUCCCCUUACCUUGACAGAUUCCACUGUUUUAGAUUUAAAAAAGAAAGUAUCCCCUUCACAUGCAAGUAUAUUAAGAUUUAGUUGUAUUUAAAAAGUUACACAUAAAUCUGCAAAAAUGCUAAAAUAUAAUUUAUUCAUAAUUCUUAUUCAAAUGGAAAGAUAAAAUAUUAGUGCUACUGUGUACAUGAUUUUAUGCUGAUUUAACAACUGCCUUAAUUACAAUUUACAUUAAAUACCUCAAAUUGCAUUCUGUGGGGUUUUUGCUGUUGUUUGCUUUUUUUUUUUUUUUUUUGAACAGUGAAAGUGAAACUUUUAAUGACAGUUUUGCAAGACUGGUGUUUGGCAUGCAGGCACACCCAGUACAGUUUUAACAAGCAAUUUAUCCCCCUUUUAAAUUCUCUUGAGCUGGAGUCUUGCUCUGUAGCCCAGGCUGGAGUGCAGUGGUAUGAUCUCAGCUCUCUGCAAUCUCUGCCUCCUGGGUUCAAGUGAUUCUCUUGCCUCAGCCUCCUGAGUAACUGGGACUGCAGGUGUGGGCCACCAUGCCCGGCAAAAAAAAAUUUUUUAAAGUAGAUACGGGGUUUCACCAUAUUGGCCAGGUUGGUCUUGAACACAUGACCUCAAUUGACUCCCAGAGUGUUGGGAUUACAGGCAUGAGCCACCAAGCCCGGCCAGCAUUCUGUGGUUUUAAAAGACAAUACAAAUAGUACUUACACUUGUCCUGUAUUUUUAAAGGAUUCUUGGGGGGGAAAAAGAGUUUCUGGUGGCUGGGGAACUACAACCAUGUACAAUGAGAAAAGUGUACUGAGUAAACAUAGAGACCACCUUCUGGUCUGCAGCUUUAAUCACCAAAGCUCUGUCAGUGCACAUAAAUACCUCUUUGCUGCUGGGAAGGUUGUAUUGCCUUUGCCCAAGGAGAGCCCCAGAUGGGAUUUGAAGCCUUCUAUACUUAGGGUUACCCUUUUCAGCCAAAUCUAAACCACUUAAAAAUAAAAUGCCACUUUGAGCACAGUGUGAUCACCCCCUUAAGGGAACUUGCAAAUAAUAUCAACCCUAAGAAACUAAAGGCAGAAAAGCAAAUGAAACCUUUUCACUUGUCUUUUCAAAGGGGGAGAAAACUAUCAGUCUUUGGACAAAUUCUUUACAAAUGACAUUAUAUAUUUUAUAUUCCAUAAAAACUCUACAAGGAAGGUAUAAUUUCCCCAAUCGUGUAGAUGAGAAGUAGCUAUGUAUUGUGUUUAAAGUCAUGUGGGAGCCCAGAUUCAAACCUAAAUUGGUCUGGCUUUUUCCAUUACAUCAAUAAUUCCUCCUUGGAGGAAUAAUUACCUGGAUUUUCUUCAUUGAAAAGUUAUCAAAUACAAUAGAACAAGUAUUUUUUUUUUAAAAAUAUGAAAACAAAACAUUUCUAGUCAGUUGUUGGAUUUCUUUAAAGAAGUUCUGGGUUAAUACCAGGUAGGCCUUUUACUAAUGUAUUUUAUUUCCUUCUGUCUGCCACCAGCUGGAGCUACUGUAUAAAAGCCAGUCAUUUUGAGUUCAAAGUGAACUGUAGAAUAGAAAGGUAGAAUACAUUUGCCCCUAAACAAUUUGAGAAUAAAUUGUGAGGAAUCGAAGACUGAGAAAUGUCAUGUCAUAGAUGAUUAAGUAAUAGCUAUUUAUCACUUAUUAGUUAUGUGAUUUGGUCAAGUUAUUUUGACUGUGACUCCAAGUUUAGUUAGUUAUGAAAUGGUUAUAACUACCAAUCUUGUGGGGAUCACUGUAUGGAAAGUUAAAUGUUAAGAAAUUAAUAUGUAGCCUAACACAUAGUAUUAAUAACACAUGUGGCCAUUAAUAUCAUUGGCAGUUAUUCAUUUUGCCAUCAGUAUCACAGCCCCAGGGAUGCUCAAUUUAUUGGUAACUACAAUUUAUAUUAUUAUUCAUUAUUGUGUGCCUGGCAUAUGGCAAGUGCCACUUGACUUCCCAUUUCUCAGUAUGUGAUUUUUGGGUGGAUGUCCUAGCCCAUGAGGAGAUGGCUUCAGUGUGGUGGACCAUGGGAUGGCACCCACACCUGGAGGCAUUCUGCUUGGAUGUCACAGGAAAGGAACCUGUGAGAGGCAUUUUUGAGGUUGAUCAGGUCAUUUUGGGUAAGAGCAGUGUUUCUCAAUAUGUGUUCUGCAGGAUUCUUGUCUCACAUGGACCAAAGAAGAAAGAGAAAUAUACCACAUAUAUCCCUUUUCCACUUUAGGGAGCCACAAUGCAUGAACACCGUGAUUAACUAGCCCACGCCACAGAUCUGUGUGAGUCAGAAUAUUCUAAUUGCUGCUUUGACUCUGCCACCCAACACGGGUAGAGCAAUGCAUUGCUCCUUAGGCUCACCUAAGGAGGUUGUAGAGAUGAGCCCAAGGAAGGAAACCAGAAGAGUCCCUGGGUUCACCAGUUAUUUGUUGGCUCCCUACAAACUUGUCAUUCAAGUGGCUAAUCUUACACCAGUACCAGGUCUCACUCUAAGCCUAUGAAGUAGAAACCAUACACCUUUUAUGCAGGAGUAAAAUGAAGAGGUCAAGUAGCCUGCUUACAGUCACCCUGCAAUCAGCAACAAAGCCAAGAGUCAAGCCCGACAGCCAGGCCUGGUCUCGUAAACACUGUUCCAGCUGCUGUCCUCAGAUACAAAUCUUGCUCUCAAGAAGGUCGUAUUCUAGAAGCCUUAUUGCAGGACUGAAAACACUAAGUACCACUAGAGAAAUAGAAAUAAUGUGGAUGGGGAUUUCACAACAGGGCCUCUGGGAAAUUGUUUCCAGCUUAGAAAAUCAGAGGAAGCUUUAAGAAAGAAGUGGAAUUUGAGGCUUGAAGGAUUUAUUUGUGCAGAAGCAGGAACGAGAAAGGACAAACAAAAAGCCAGGGAUGAGAGGGGUAAGGUAUAGCUGAAAGACAGGAGGUAGUUGGUUCAAUCCAAGUGGACCCUGGGUUAUGUGCAGGACAGCAGGGAAGGCUGAGGCCUGAAACCUUCCCUAGGUGAAACCAGAUCACAAGGGGCUUCAAGUACCAAGCUAAAGAGUGUCUGUCUAAAAUUGAAGGUCCUUAAAUGGCUUUUCAGAGGACCAAAAAAAAAAAAAAAAAAAAAAAACCAAA